AUACGGAGGGAGCAAGCGUUAUUCGGAAUCACUGGGCGUAAAGGACGCGUAGGCGGGUUUGUAAGCCAGGUGUGAAAUCCUACAGCUCAACUGUAGAACUGCACUUGAAACUACAGACCUAGAGUAUGGAAGGGGCAGAUGGAAUUAGUGGUGUAGGGGUAAAAUCCGUAGAUAUCACUAGGAAUACCGAAAGCGAAGGCGAUCUGCUGGGACAUUACUGACGCUGAGGCGUGAAAGCGUGGGGAGCAAACAGGAUUAGAUACCCCGGUAGUCC
rnacentral:rRNA from 1 species